rnacentral:lncRNA from 1 species
GAAAAACGCUGCAAGGCAGCAAGGAGCAUCUGAGUGACUGCAGCUGAGAUGGAGGAGGAGGAAGCAGUAAGAAAGAAGCCGGCCCCUUGCUCAGCUCAUGGGGCUGGGGCAGGGGAUGCUUCAGGUGCCUUUGUCACCACAGGGAAAAAUGCCCACAACAACAUGCUGGCGAGACUGCAGAGAAAAGGGAAUGCGUAUACCCUGUUGGUGGGAAUGUAAAUGAGUUCAGCCCCUGUGGAGAGCAGUUUGGAGAUUUCUCAAAGAACGAAAACCUGAAUUACCAUUCAACCCAGCAAUCCCACUACUGGGUAUCAUCUACCCAAAGGAAAA